GUACUCUCACACUCCCAAUGCUUUUGGAUUGGGAGCGGUGGACUUGGGUGUUGCUGCUUUGCUGUGGCUCGCCUCAAAUGGAGUAGUGCAACUCUUCUCGGUUGGACAUAGUACGGCGUGAUAAGUAUCUUCGCCGGCGCCCUGGGUGGCCGAUCGGGAGCUCUGUGCUUCAAACCGUCUUCGGACAAUCUUUGACA
rnacentral:misc_RNA from 1 species